UACGUAGGGCGCAAGCGUUGUCCGGAAUUAUUGGGCGUAAAGAGCUCGUAGGCGGUUUGUCGCGUCUGCCGUGAAAGUCCGGGGCUCAACUCCGGAUCUGCGGUGGGUACGGGCAGACUAGAGUGAUGUAGGGGAGACUGGAAUUCCUGGUGUAGCGGUGAAAUGCGCAGAUAUCAGGAGGAACACCGGUGGCGAAGGCGGGUCUCUGGGCCGAUACUGACGCUGAGGAGCGAAAGCAUGGGUAGCGAACAGG
rnacentral:rRNA from 1 species